AAGAAGUUGUGUUGAAGAAGCUUUCUGGCAGCAAGGUGUUUGAAGUGCACCGGAGAGGAUUGGCUUGGGGUAAUGAGCUGAAUUUUGGCAUGCAGGGGUGAUACAUCAAGGUGAGGAGUCUGGAAAAUAUUUAGGGCAAAUGGAUCAUUCUAGGUGGCACUUCCUUCACACAUGGACAAUCUGGUCCAGAAGCUAGAAUUGCAGCUGGGCUCAAAUGGCUUGAUAGAUUGGGCUCCAAUUUGGUGUGGAGUGAUGAUUUGGAUAAAUGGAGAUACUAGAAAAGUUUCAGAUCAUUUGAGAAUACCAAAAGGGCACUUCCUUC
rnacentral:lncRNA from 1 species